rfam:Amycolatopsis methanolica 239, complete genome.
ACACGGGAAAGGAGGUGGUCCAAAGUUGUGUAGCAACGGGACUCGUGAGGUGGCUGUCCGCUAGCGGAUGCCACACCCUGGACUGCUGGUGAAUACCAGACAGCCACCGCCCCCCGGCGUUUCCGAGCACUGGUCCGGCUCGGGCCCGAACGGCUGACGACGGUCGGGAGUCGCGCCGGGGGUUCCCCCA